UAUGUUUUGUUAAAAAUGUAUGACUUUAUAACUUUUAGACCGUGAGGCCAAACUUGGCAUGCCAUACCUUUUCGGAAAGCCCAAAGAGAGCUCUCCAAUUAAUGAGGAAGGAAAAUGGAAUUCUUCUAUUGUUUUUUUUUUCUACUCUAAAUUUUGACCUUAAUGUACUUUUUCGUGCCUUUUCGUGAUCUUUGCUAUAGUACGGGGUGAAAAUUAUAUGUUCGGACAUUGUUUUCGAAUAUUUUGCAUGUAUCAAAGCUCUAAUAAACAAGAUAGGGUAUUCCUACAUAGCUAGUGGGACCCACGACAAAUGGAUCAUAAAGUCUUAAAAAAGAAUAGAUACGAUUGCAUUGCAUGUAUUAACGGAUGCGAUUAUACCAGCAUUAAUGCACUGGAUCCCAUCAGAAAUCUGUAGUUAAGCGUGCUUGGGCGAGAGUUGUACUAGGAUGGGUGACCUCCAGGAAAGUCCUCGUGUUGCAUUCCUCUUUUUUUCUCGGUUUUUCUCUUUUCUGUUUUGUUAAAAGUAUAUGACUCUAUAACUUUUAGACCGUGAGGCCAAACUUGGCAUGUGAUACCAUUUCGGAAAGCCCAAAGAGAGCUCUCCAACUAAUGAGGAAGGAAAAUGGAAUUCUCCUAUUGAUUUUUUUUUCUACUCCAAAUUUAGACCUUAAUGUACUUUUUCGGGCCUUUUAAUGAUCUUUGCUAUAGUACGGGGCAAAAAUUAUAAGUUCGGACAUUGUUUUCGAAUAUUUUGCAUGGAUCAAAGCUCUUAUUAACAAGAUAGGGUGUUCCUACAUAGCUAAUGGGACCCACGGCAAAUGGAUCAUAAAGUCUUCAAAAAAGAAUAGAUAUAAUUGCAUUGCAUGUAGUAACAGCUACGAUCAUACCAGCACUAAUGAACCGGAUCCCAUCAGAACUCUACAGUUAAGCGUGCUUGGGCGAGAGUUGUACUAGGAUGAGUGAGCUCCAGGAAAGUCCUCGUGUUGCAUCCCUCUUUUUUUCGGUUUUUCUCUUUUUUUAUGUUAAAAAUAAAUGACUCUAUAACUUUUGGACCGUGAGGCCAAACUUGGCAUGUGAUACCUUUUUGGAAAGCCCAAAGAGAGCUCUCCAAUUAAUGAGGAAGGAAAAUGAAAUUCUUCUAUUGUUUUUUUUUCUACGCCAAAUUUUGACCUUAAUGUAAUUUUUUGGGCCUUUCCGUGUUUUUUGCUUUAUUACGGGGCACAAAUUAUAUGUUCGGCCAUUGUUUUCGAAUAUUUUACAUGUAUCAAAGCUCUUAUAAACAAGAUAGGGUAUUCCUACAUAUCUGGUGGGACCCACAGCAAAUGGAUCAUAAAGUCUUCAAAAAAGAAUAGAUACGAUUGCAUUCCAUGUAGUAACAGAUGCGAUCAUACCAGCACUAAUGCACCGGAUCCCAUCAAAACUCCACAGUUAAGCGUGCUUGGGCGAGAGUAGUACGAGGAUGGGUGACCUCACGGAAAGUCCUCGUGUUGCAUCCCUCUUUUUUCGGUUUUCCUCUAUUUUGUUUUGUUAAAAAUGUAUGACUCUAUAACUUUAAGACCGUGAGGCCAACCUUGACAUGUGAUACCUUUUCGGAAAGCCUAAAGAGAGCUCUCCGAUGAAAGAGGAAGGAAAAUGGAAUUCUUCUAUUGUUUUUUUUUCUUCUCCAAAUUUUGACCUUAAUGUACUUUUUCGAGCCUUUUCGUGAUCUUUGCUAUAGUACGGGGCAAAAAUUAUAUGUUCGGACAUUGUUUUCGAAUAUUUUGUAUCUAUCAAAGCUCUUAUAAACAAGAUAGGGUAUUCCUACAUAGCUGGUGGGACCCAUGGCAAAUGAAUCAUAAAGUCUUCAAAAAAGAAUAGAUACGAUUGCAUUGCAUGUAGUAACAGAUGUGAUCAUACCAGCACUAAUGCACCGGAUCCCAUCAGAACUCCGAAGUUAAGCGUGAUUGGGCGAGAGUAGUACUAAGAUGGGUGACCUCGAGGAAUGUCCUCGUGUUGCAUGCCUCUUUUUUCGGUUUUUCUCUAUUUUGUUUUAUUAAAAAUGUAUGACUCUAUAACUUUAAGACCGUGAGGCAAAACUUGACAUGUGAUACCUUUUCGGAAAGCCCAAAGAGAGCUCUCCAAUGAAUGAGGAAGUCUUUUUCUAUUCCAAAUUUUGACCUUAAUGUACUUUUUCGAGUCUUUUUGUGAUCUUUGCUAUAUUACGGGGCGAACAUUAUACGUUCGGACAUUGUUUUCGAAUAUUUUGUAUCUAUCAAAGCUCUUAUAAACAAGAUAGGGUAUUCCUACAUUGCUGGUGGGACCCACGGCAAAUGGAUCAUAAAGUCUUAAAAAAAGAAUAGAUAUGAUUGCAUUGCAUGUAGUAACAGAUGCGAUCAUACCAGCACUAAUGCACCGGAUCCCAUCAGAACUCCGCAGUUAAGCGUGCUUGGGCGAGAGUAGUACUAGGAUGGGUGACCUCGAAGAAUGUCCUCGUGUUGCAUCCCUCUUUUUUUCGGUUUUUCUCUUUUUUUGUUUUGUUAAAAAUGUAUGACUUUAUAACUUUUAGACCGUGAGGCCAAACUUGGCAUGCCAUACCUUUUCGGAAAGCCCAAAGAGAGCUCUNCAAUUAAUGAGGAAGGAAAAUGGAAUNCUUCUAUUG
rnacentral:sRNA from 1 species